GACAGAGGCCCCAAGCGUUAGGCGGAAUCACUGGGCUUAAAGCGUGUGUAGGCGGACCUGUAAGUAUCUUGUGAAAUCCCACGGCUCACCCGUGGAACUGCUCGGUAUACUGCUUAUCUUGAGCCACUUAGGGGCUGUCGGAACAAAUGGUGGAGCGGUGAAAUGCGUAGAUAUCAUUUGGAACGCCAAAGGUGAAAACAGACAGCUGGGAGUGUGCUGACGCUGAGACACGAAAGCCAGGGGAGCAAACGGG
rnacentral:rRNA from 1 species